GACUGGGUCUCUCACCAGCCUGGGCCUUGCCAAUUAGACUAGGCCAGCCAGGCUUCAAGCUCCAGGGAUCUAUCUGCUUCUGCCUCCUCCACACUGGGAUCAUAAGCACAUGCCACCACAUCUAGUCUUUCACAUGUAUUCUAGGGUUCAAACCUGGUGGCCCUCAUGUUUGCACGGAGCCCUUGUCGGUCAGAUAAGGGAGUUGGAUCCCCUGAAAUUGGAUUUAUAGGGAAUUGUGAGCUGCCAUAGAUGCUGAGCCAGGUGCCAUCAUGUAGCAGGCAAAGGAGUUGCAGUUUUGGGUGCCAGAGCUCUGAAGAGAGGUCUUACAAGCAAAAGAAAAUCCAAUGUUGAUACAUGCAUUCUCUCUCGAGGUUCUGGGGUGGGAUCUGGGCCUUCUCAUUCCAGGUCCAGGGCCACCUGUAUUCCUU
rnacentral:lncRNA from 1 species